CUAGGAAGGCACCAGAAAGUAGAAUGAGAGCUCUCCAGUCUCUGGGUGAAAAACAGCAGGGGUUUUUGUGAGUGGUCCUUCUGAGAACAAUGACACUGGAGCGCGCAUGCACGAGACAACUCCAUGUUUUACUUUCAGUGUUUGAACGAAUACAACGUCGCCCGGUUGGAAUAUUAUCGCUAUUUUACGAGAAAAAUCGCACACAAAUUUAUUUAAACAGCGUUUGACAUGCUUCGAAGUACGGUAAUGGAAUAUUUUGAAAUAUUUUGUCACGAAACGCGCCGGCGCGUCACCCUUCGGAUAGUUACCUGAACGCAUGAACAAAACGGAGCUAUUUCAAUAUAACUAUGGAUUAUUUCGAACCAAAACAACAUUUGUUGUUGAAGUAGAAGUCCUGGGAGUGCAUUCUGACAAAGAACAGCAAAGCAGACGAACAGUGGAGAGGAGCAACGAUUAUCGGGCAACGAGGUGGACUUCAGUCGGUCGAUGUUUCCGGUCUGAAUGGCCUGCUUAUUAAGGACCUGAACCCUAGGACCAUGCCUCAGGACUACCUGGCAUGAUGACUCCUUGCUGUCCCCAGUCCACCUGGCCGUGCUGCUGCUCCAGUUUCAACUGUUCUGCCUGUGGCUAUGGAACCCUGACCUGUUCACCGGAUGUGCUUGUUGCACCCUCGACAACUACUAUGAUUAUUAUUAUUUGACCAUGCUGGUCAUUUAUGAACAUUUUAACAUCUUGACCAUGUUCUGUUAUAAUAUCCACCCGGCACAGCCAGAAGAGGACUGGCCACCCCUCAUAGCCUGGUUCCUCUCUAGGUUUCUUCCUAGGUUUUGGCCUUUCUAGGGAGUUUUUCCUAGGGAGUUUUUCCUAGCCACCGUGCUUCUUUCACAUGCAUUGCUUGCUGUUUGGGGUUUUAGGCUGGGUUUCUGUACAGCACUUUGAGAUAUCAGCUGAUGUACGAAGGGCUAUAUAAAUACAUUUUAUUUUAUUUGAUUGAGAAAGGUUCUUUAUAGAACCAUUCUCCGUACAGGUUCAAUUAAGAACCAUGAAAAAUUAUUCUAUUUAGCCCCCAAAAAGUCUGUAACCAUAGCGGAACCUUUUUUUUGGUGCUGUAUAGAACUUUUUAUUAACGGUUCUUUAUAGAACCUUAGGAAAGUGUUCUUUAUAGCAUUGUGCAGGUUCCAUUUAGAACCUUAUGAGAAUGUUUUUUUUUUUAAAGUUCAGUGAAAAAAGGGUUCCGCUAUGGUUACAAGCCAACAAAGCCUUAUUUGGCACUACAUAAAACAAUUUGCUUUUAGUGUGUUGACCGCUGGGGUUCAUGACCAUAUGACACUUGUGGAGACAGUGAGUACCCGGCGUUGAGGGAUAUAACAAGACAUUCAUGAAUAAUAACAUGAAUGCAUACCUGACUGAGUAUCUACAAGGUCUAUGCUAUCAAUACAAGAGUAGCCCGUUGCUGCUGUGUGGAAAAGCACUUGUUUUCCGUCUGUGCCUCUGAGACGGAAAUUCUUAUGAACACAACAGUUGCUGAUGAAAUUACUUUUUAAAGCUGCUUUCAUUCAUACACACACACACACACACACACACACACACACACACACACACACACACACACACACACACACACACACACACACACACACACACACACACACACACA
rnacentral:lncRNA from 1 species